ensembl:lncRNA
UUCACCAGUGAUAACCCACAACAUGAAUAAUUCUUAUGUUCUCUGUAUAAACAUUUGUCCAACAGAGACAGCUGCUCAGCCUUGUAAAGUCUCUUCUGCUCCAGUAAACAAGAGGUUAAAAACCUGGAAGCACUGAACCCAAAGAAAUUGAAGUCUAUGGUUUUCCUACUCUGAAUGGUGGGCAUGUGGCGAGAGCUGACAGACUGGAUGUAGUUGAGAAGGAAUUCUCCUGCAUGGUCAAUUUUUAUGUUAUUGUAUUUUCUGUUUACAUUUAUUUUCUUCUUCAAGCAUCAAAUGAAAGUCAUUAUAGUCAGAGAUUUCAUCACUGGGUGUGGGUUGGAGGCCAAUUGACUUUCUGAUAUGUUCUUUUUUUUCAGCAGUCAGCUAAAAUAUGCUGGUUUGAGGGGUACGUGUAAGAAAUGAUUUGAGGCCAGGCUCUCAGAAGAAAACUGAGUUCACUUGUGUUCAUCAAUGAUUUAUAGCUGCUUGAAUCAGAACUAGCUUCCCUGCAAAGCUAUACUUAGAGUUAGGCCAAUUGAGUCUGACAGGGGAGAAUCUCAAAUUAUUGAUGAAAGGACUAAGGACUACAUUUGAGAAGUUUAUUCUUUUGGUGUGGUUUCUGAUGUGCAUGCAACUGACUCACCCGGCACAUUUAGCACCCUGCAGCUUUUUCUAGUCCCAAACACAAGCAUUCUAGGUGGCUGUGUGGAGUACAACACAAAGAAUUCCCAGUUGUCUUUCCUAACACUACAGAGAAAUCUUUACAUUUGUGAUUUAAAGAAAUCAUUAAAGAAAAUUUUUGCUUCUGUAGGAUACCUUCACUGGGACUCAAGAUGUGUUCCUAGUCUUUCUACUCACAAAGAUUCCUGAAACAAGGACCAUGCUGUUUUCCUGCCUCUCCAGGAAUCUUGAUGAGUGGAAUGGAUUACCAGUAAAACGUAUUGAGUUCCUUUGAAGGUACAUAGCACAAUACCUGGCCAUAAUGCUCCCCAUAAAUGAUAGCAAUGUCAUUAUUGUAAUGAUGGAAGGAGGCUAUUCCUUGGUGAGAACAUCUCUGGGUUUAGAGUGGGUCUCAGGGACAAUGAAAAACAUUUACUGAAUGAAAAGUUCUGAGGAAAAGGAGCAAACAUUUGGUGUUAUUUUUGUAUAAAGAAAUGAGAGUUCACCAAGAACCCUUGGUUUGUCAGCAACGUUGUGGAAUCCUUGAUGUGUACUGAAGCUCUGGAUUUAAGAUGGUAGAAAUAUUUUAAAAAGUAAAGAUCAUGAUGACUUUAGAACAGUUACCAAGCAACGUAAAACACUCCUAAAUGGAGAUUAGGUGGUCAAUGCUGAGAGGUCAGUGGCUAUUUAUUCAACACAUGUUUACUGAGCACCUACCCUGUAUCAGAGAGUACUACAUGACUGAGACACAGUGGUGACAAGGCACACAUGGUUAGUGACCUUAUUGACCUCAAUGACCCAGAGCCUAGUGCAUCAUACAGAGAAAUAAAUAGAUAUCCUCAGUUUAGGAUGAUACCUGCUAUGCUAGGAUAUAGAAGAGAAUGCUGCAGAAGCACCUAGAAAAUACAACUAACCCACUGGAAGUGGCAGGUUGCUGGGAUUAAAAGACUUCCUGGGAAAGUAAUUUCUAGGCUGUACCUGAUAAAUGAAUAGUAGUUAUCCAGGUAAACAAAGAUGGAAGCACAUUCUAGGACAUUGGGACAGUAUGCUUGGAGGUCCAGAGAUAAGAGAACCAACUAAGGGACAUUUGAAGAAUUAAAAGACACUCAGUGGUUGAAAUAUGUCUACACAGAAACCUGCUCAUGAAUGUUUAUAGCACCUUUAUUUGUAAUCAUCAGCAAUUAAAAGGAUUCAAGGUGUCCUUCAACAGGAGAUGAAUAAACACACUGUGGUACAUCCACACACUGGUUAUUAUUCAGCAAUAAAAAGAAACGAGCUACCAAGCCAUGAAUGGACGUAGAGGAACCAUAAAUGCAUGUUACCAAGCAAGAUGAGUGGUCUGAAAAGGCUGCAUACUGUAUUAUUUCAACCAUAUGACAUUUCUGGAAAAG